AACGAACGCUGGCGGCAUGCUUAACACAUGCAAGUCGAACGAGAACUUCGGGUCUAGUGGCGCACGGGUGCGUACCGCCUGGGAACUUGCACUUAGGUUCGGAAUCACUCCCCGAAAGGGGUGCUAAUACCGGUUAAUGUCUUCGGACCAAAGAUUUAUCGCCUUUGGAUGGGGGCUGGUUGGAUUAGCCGGUUGGUAGGGUAAAAGCCUACCAAGGCGACGAUCCAUAGCUGGUCUGAUAGGAUGAUCAGCCGCACUGGGACUGCGACACGGCCCAGACUCCUACGGGAGGCAGCAGUGGGGAAUAUUGGACAAUGGGCGAUAGCCUAAUCCAGCAAUGCCGCGUGAGUGAUGAAGGCCUUAGGAUUGUAAAGCUCUUUUACCCGGGAUGAUAAUGACAGUACCGGGAGAAUAAGCUCCGGCUAACUCCGUG
rnacentral:rRNA from 1 species